rnacentral:rRNA from 1 species
GAACGCUGGCGGCAUGCCUAACACAUGCAAGUCGAACGAUCCUUCGGGAUAGUGGCGGACGGGUGAGUAACGCGUAGGUAUCUGCCCUGGAGUGGGGAACAACAGCUGGAAACGGCUGCUAAUACCGCAUACGCCCGGUAACGGGGAAAGCUUUAUGCGCUCUAGGAGGAACCUGCGUCCGAUUAGCUAGUUGGAGGGGUAACGGCCCACCAAGGCGACUAUCGGUAGCUGGUCUGAGAGGAUGAUCAGCCACACUGGGACUGAGACACGGCCCAGACUCCUACGGGAGGCAGCAGUGGGGAAUAUUGGACAAUGGGGGCAACCCUGAUCCAGCAAUGCCGCGUGCGUGAAGAAGGCCUUAGGGUUGUAAAGCGCUUUCGCCCGCGACGAUGAUGACGGUAGCGGGA